UCUGCGUCGGUGUACUAUAGUCCUAAAAUACAGCUAACUUUAAGUCAUGCACCGUGAUUUCUUUAAGAGAAAAAACAAUGCGGAUGUGUGGAGGGAUGGCAGACGAGCUCCUGUCGCCGGAAAUGGAAGAUUUCCUCCUUUAAAAUUAACCUCAAAAAAGAAAAAAACUUGGGACUGAUUAUGUGCCCUCAUGGCUGUCAGUUUAAUAUGUCUGAGAUCUAAAAGCAGGUAAGCCACUGACUAACGCACAUUGCGCCAGUUGCCAGUUCCACUGUGCGUGUGACAGCGGCUAACCUGGUUUUGGGAGCGCUUCUUCAUCUUUGUGCCGGGCCAAGAAGAAACCAGCACCGAGCCGGAGCAGACGCACGUCUCCUCGAUCCCAUUGGUGCUGCUGGGACAGGCCUGUUCGACAUGACUGCUCUCCCAGUGGUCUCCAUGUGCACCGUAGCCUACUUCCUCUUAUGAUCACAGACUGUACUAUCCCUCUUAUUUAGGGCCAGUAGGUUUUGCAUUGCCUCCUCUGGAGCCGACCUCCCUUAUGCCACCUACUGUCAAGAUCGUUGGUGAGUGUUUUGUUUCUGUUUCUGUUUCAUCUGCGUUAGGAUUAUCAUCAUCAUCAUGGCCUCUGCUUCCAGAUUUGAGGUCAGGGGCCCCUGCAGGGGUUCUUCGAGGAGAUUCCCGGAGGCCCCUUCAGCGAAAAUGAACAUUACUUAAAAAGACACUUGAACUUGUAUAAUGUGUCACACGAUUGGAGGCAGUUUUCCUAAAUUUUGAAGCAAAUUCCAAUAAGUUUACGUCCAGAUCAUUAUGUACUACAGUGUGUCUGUUUGUAAAAUGUAUCCCUCAAGUGCAAAGUAAAGUUUCUACUCAAAUCA